rnacentral:rRNA from 3 species
CAGACCUCUGAUCAGGGAAGACUACCCGCUGAGUUUAAGCAUAUCACUAAGCGGAGGAGAAGAAACUAACCAGG